GACGAACGCUGGCGGCGUGCUUAACACAUGCAAGUCGAGCGGAAAGGCCACUUCGGUGGUACUCGAGCGGCGAACGGGUGAGUAACACGUGAGUAAUCUGCCCCUGGCUUUGGGAUAGCCACCGGAAACGGUGAUUAAUACCGGAUAUGACAGCUUCUCGCAUGAGUGGUUGUGGAAAGUUUUUCGGCCAGGGAUGUGCUCGCGGCCUAUCAGCUUGAUGGUGAGGUAAUGGCUCACCAUGGCUUCGACGGGUAGCCGGCCUGAGAGGGUGACCGGUCACACUGGGACUGAGACACGGCCCAGACUCCUACGGGAGGCAGCAGUGGGGAAUAUUGGACAAUGGGCGGAAGCCUGAUCCAGCAACGCCGCGUGAGGGAUGACGGCCUUCGGGUUGUAAACCUCUUUCGCCUGUGACGAAGCGCAAGUGACGGUAACAGGUAAAGAAGCACCGGCCAACUACGUGCCAGCCGCCGCAGUAAUAC
rnacentral:rRNA from 1 species